UGUGUUGGCUGGGCCUGUUGAAAUUCUUCCCACAGCCUCAUGAGAGAAAGGGGCACACAGAGAAAGGAACAGGUGUUCAGGAUGUCUAUAUAUUAAAAAAAAGAAACACAUGCAAGAACUUCAUAAGAAAGUGUUUUAAGGAAUUGUAGACACAGGGGCUCAAGAAGGAAAUCUCUUUCUCCUUAAUGAAAAUAAUGUUGGGAAAAGAGAAAUUCAGGAAUUCUCUCCCCUAUGAUUCAUAUCCCCAGAUAUUCUCUGGCAUUCUCACUAUAUAGUUUCCUUUUUUUUUUUUUUUUUUUUUGUACUGUAUUGCUUUUUUUUUUUUUUUUUUUUUUCCCCCAGAAAGAGAAAAUCUUACUGGAGAAAACCAUGCCAAGCCUGAGAACAUUGAGUACCCAAGGCCAAGCUCAACAAGGGCAGAGAACUUUCCGGCAAGAAAUUAUCCCAUCUGUAACAAGGCCAGUCUCAUGGUCUACAGCUCACAAUUGGCAAGAAGAUAACAGGAUUGGGGAGAGGAGGUGGGAAACCUAUCCCCUGAUGGCACAGCAGAGACAGAGGUAA
rnacentral:lncRNA from 1 species